rnacentral:rRNA from 1 species
AAUCAGACUAGAUAGCCAUGCAUGUCUAAGUAUAAGCAAAUCUAUACUGUGAAACUGCGAACGGCUCAUUAAAUCAGUUAUAGUUUAUUUGAUGGUACCUUACUACAUGGAUAACUGUGGUAAUUCUAGAGCUAAUACAUGCCGAAAAGGCCCCUCACGGGGUUGUAUUUAUUAGAUUAAAGACCGUUGGCUUUCGGGCCAUUGGGUGAAUCAUGAUAACUGCUCGGAGCGUAUGGCCUUGCGCCGACGCCGCUUCAUUCAAAUACCUGCCCUAUCAGCUUUUGAUGGUAGUGUAGUGGACUACCAUGGCUCUCACGGGUAACGGGGAAUUAGGGUUCGAUUCCGGAGAGAGAGCCUGAGAAACGGCUCUCAUAACUAAGGUUAGCAGCAGGCGCGCAAAUUAUCCACUCUCAAUUCGAGGAGAUAGUGACAAGAAAUAACAAUAGAGGGCUCUUUUGGGUCUUCUAAUUGGAAUGAGAACAAUCUAAAUCCCUUAACGAGGAUCAAUUGGAGGGCAAGUCUGGUGCCAGCAGCCGCGGUAAUUCCAGCUCCAAUAGCGUAUAUUAAAUUUGUUGACGUUAAAAAGCUCGUAGUCGACUUUCGGCCUCAGCCAACCGGUCCGCUCAAUGAGUGUGUACUGGAUUUGGUUGGGGCUUUACCUCCUGGUGAUCCGGCAUGGUCUUUAUUGAUUGUGUCGGGGAACCCGGAACUUUACUUUGAAUAAAUCAGAGUGUUCAAAGCAGGCAUGUUUGCCCGAAUGUUACAGCAUGGAAUAAUAGAAUAGGAUGUGUGCCUCUAUUGGUCUUUUAGAGGCACCUUAAUGAGAAAUAGGGGCGGCUCGGGGGCAUUUGUAUUCAAUUGCUAGAGGUGAAAUUCUUGGAUUUAUUGAAGACAAACUAUUGCGAAAGCAUUUGCCAAGGACGCUUUCAUUGAUCAAGAACGAAGGUCGGGGGAUCGAAAACGAUUAGAGUUAGAAUAGGUAUUUAGUCGUUGAAAGGUUCUGCCAGUAAAGGUGAACCUAGUGGCUUUUCCGAAGGUCGCAACAUUGUCAAAUUGCUGGAAAGCCCUUCAAGUUUCCUGUUACCAAGCUGUCUUCUAGAAAUAGGGCAGUGGCCGGGCUAGCAGCCUCGGGUAUGGUCACAAUACGGGAAAAUUGGGUAACCAGCAGCCAAGUCCCAAGCUCUUCUUCAGAGCGGGAUGCAGUUCACAGACUAAAUGGCAAUGGGUUCAAGCUCCUGAACGAGGGGUUUGAGUCUAAGAUAUAGUCGGUCUCUUGUGCGAAAGCCUUAGAGAGGAAAUGUAGAUACCGUUGUAGUCUCGACAGUAAACUAUGCCAACCGGCGAUGGGUGGGGGUUUUCUUAAUGACCCCAUCUGCAGCCAAAGAGAAAUCUUGAGUGCGGUUCGUGGGGGAGUACGGUCUGUUGAACAACAGCAAAGUUUCUAUGAGGAACCUUGUGGCCGUCGAAAGUCUUUUGAGAGAUCAAAGGGCUAGUCUGACCUUCGCAAAGGUCGGGCAACACUAGCAAAUUGCGGCGAGGUCCUGAUGACUGACAAGUACCAAGCACCUGUGAAUCGAAAGAUCGGUGUGGCAAGGGGCAGUGACCCUUGGUAUGGUAACAACCUUGUACAGAUUGGAUGAGCGCGCAGCCAAGGUCCUCACUCCGUAACAGGGGUAGGAUUCCAGUCCACAGACUAAACGCUAGUGGGUAUGAAUCGCUUUCAUGCUUAAGAUAUAGUCGAGUCGUGCAGCGAGAGCUGUAUGUAGUGAAUGCACAAGGCUGAAACUUAAAGGAAUUGACGGAAGGGCACCACCAGGAGUAAACACAAAUAGGCUCUGCUCUGGAAAGCGACUCUGCAAAGAGUUUGUGGUGUUACCUUUGAAAUUAGCUAGUCCUGUCUGCGAGACAGGCGACAUUUUCAAUUGCGGGAACGGCCUGGAAGCUCUCAUUACCAGUCU